UAGUCCACGCCCUAAACGAUGUCUACUAGUUGUCGGGUCUUAAUUGACUUGGUAACGCAGCUAACGCGUGAAGUAGACCGCCUGGGGAGUACGGUCGCAAGAUUAAAACUCAAAGGAAUUGACGGGGACCCGCACAAGCGGUGGAUGAUGUGGAUUAAUUCGAUGCAACGCGAAAAACCUUACCUACCCUUGACAUGUACAGAAUCCCGAAGAGAUUUGGGAGUGUUCGAAAGAAAACUGUAACACAGGUGCUGCAUGGCUGUCGUCAGCUCGUGUCGUGAGAUGUUGGGUUAAGUCCCGCAACGAGCGCAACCCUUGUCAUUAGUUGCUACGAAAGGGCACUCUAAUGAGACUGCCGGUGACAAACCGGAGGAAGGUGGGGAUGACGUCAAGUCCUCAUGGCCCUUAUGGGUAGGGCUUCACACGUCAUACAAUGGUACAUACAGAGGGCCGCCAACCCGCGAGGGGGAGCUAAUCCCAGAAAGUGUAUCGUAGUCCGGAUUGUAGUCUGCAACUCGACUACAUGAAGUUGGAAUCGCUAGUAAUCGCGGAUCAGCAUGUCGCGGUGAAUACGUUCCCGGGUCUUGUACACACCGCCCGUCACACCAUGGGAGCGGGUUUUACCAGAAGUAGGUAGCCUAACCGUAAGG
rnacentral:rRNA from 2 species